UACGUAGGGGGCGAGCGUUGUCCGGAAUCAUUGGGCGUAAAGCGCGUGUAGGCGGCUUGGUAAGUCUGGUGUGAAAUCCAGGGGCUCAACCCCUGGCGGUCACUGGAUACUGUCGGGCUAGAGUCCGGAAGAGGAGAGUGGAAUUCCUGGUGUAGCGGUGGAAUGCGCAGAUAUCAGGAGGAACACCAAUGGCGAAGGCAGCUCUCUGGUACGUGACUGACGCUGAGACGCGAAAGCGUGGGGAGCGAACAGG
rnacentral:rRNA from 1 species